CCCUACGGGAGGCAGCAGUGAGGAAUAUUGGUCAAUGGGCGAGAGCCUGAACCAGCCAAGUCGCGUGAAGGAUGACGGCCCUAUGGGUUGUAAACUUCUUUUGUCAGGGAGCAAUUGGGUCCACGUGUGGGCUUAGCGAGAGUACCUGAAGAAAAAGCAUCGGCUAACUCCGUGCCAGCAGCCGCGGUAAUACGGAGGAUGCGAGCGUUAUCCGGAUUUAUUGGGUUUAAAGGGUGCGUAGGCGGGACGGUAAGUCAGCGGUAAAAAUGCGGAGCUCAACUCCGUCGUGCCGUUGAAACUGUCGU
rnacentral:rRNA from 1 species